AUUUUCUUCUUGACAAAAAGAAUAAGGCUAUGAGAUCUCAGCAAAACAACUGUGCCCUGCCCAUCACUUGGCUUUGGAAUAAAAAAAAAUAAUGAUAUAAACUCUUUGACUUCCAGGAAUGAUAUGAACAGGAACUGUAAGAGCAGGAAGUCCAGAUGCUUCUGAGAGGACCCCAGCUCCUAAUUCCCAUUUGUAGACGGCUCAGAUCAAGACAAUCUCUUCAUGAAACAACUCAACACCUACUAAGGACUCAGAGAGCUUUCCCAAGGACCUUUUUUGUACCAAGACAGAAGGUCAACUUUCUUCUCCCCAUCUCUGAUAUCUUCAUCCUAUUUGUCCUCCCUCCCAAAUGGCUCUUUACACUGAAUUAUAGGCCAAUUAGUAAACCAUAGAUA